rnacentral:tRNA from 1 species
GGGAGAGUUCCAGAGCGGCCAAAUGGGGCAGACUGUAAAUCUGUUGACGAAGUCUUCGGAGGUUCGAAUCCUUCCUCUCCCA